GUGUCAGCCGCCGCGGUAAUACGUAGGGUGCAAGCGUUAAUCGGAAUUACUGGGCGUAAAGCGUGCGCAGGCGGUUAUGCAAGACAGAUGUGAAAUCCCCGGGCUCAACCUGGGAACUGCAUUUGUGACUGCAUAGCUAGAGUGCGGCAGAGGGAGAUGGAAUUCCGCGUGUAGCAGUGAAAUGCGUAGAUAUGCGGAGGAACACCGAUGGCGAAGGCAAUCUCCUGGGCCUGCACUGACGCUCAUGCACGAAAGCGUGGGGAGCAAACAGGAUUAGAAACCCUGGUAGUCC
rnacentral:rRNA from 1 species